GCGCCCGUAGCUCAGCUGGAUAGAGCGCUGGACUUCGAAUCCAAAGGUCGCAGGUUCAAAUCCUGCCGGGCGCGCCA
rnacentral:tRNA from 3 species